rnacentral:rRNA from 1 species
AUUGAACGCUGGCGGCAUGCCUUACACAUGCAAGUCGAACGGCAGCACGGACUUCGGUCUGGUGGCGAGUGGCCGAACGGGUGAGUAAUGUAUCGGAACGUACCUUUCAGUUGGGGGAUAACGUAGCGAAAGUUAACGCUAAUACCGCAUAUUCUGUGAGCAGGAAAGCAGGGGAUCGCAAGACCUUGCGCUGAUUGAGCGGCCGAUAUCAGAUUAGCUAGUUGGUGGGGUAAAGGCCUACCAAGGCUACGAUCUGUAGCGGGUCUGAGAGGUAUGAUCCGCCACACUGGAACUGAGACACGGUCCAGACUCCUACGGAGGCAGCAGUGGGGAAUCUUGCGCAAUGGGCGAAAGCCUGACGCAGC